CCCCUGGUGGUCCAGUGGUUCAGACUCUGAGCUUCCACUUCAGGGGGCAUGGGUUUGAUCCCUGUUCGGGGAA
rfam:TPA: Bos taurus chromosome 13, whole genome shotgun sequence.